rnacentral:rRNA from 1 species
AAAAGUGAAAGACGGUCUUGCUGUCACUUAUAGAUGGAUCCGCGCUGCAUUAGCUAGUUGGUAAGGUAACGGCUUACCAAGGCAACGAUGCAUAGCCGACCUGAGAGGGUGAUCGGCCACACUGGAACUGAGACACGGUCCAGACUCCUACGGGAGGCAGCAGUAGGGAAUCUUCCGCAAUGGGCGAAAGCCUGACGGAGCAACGCCGCGUGAGUGAUGAAGGUCUUCGGAUCGUAAAACUCUGUUAUUAGGGAAGAACAUAUGUGUAAGUAACUGUGCACAUCUUGACGGUACCUAAUCAGAAAGCCACGGCUAACUACGUGCCAGCAGCCGCGGUAAUACGUAGGUGGCAAGCGUUAUCCGGAAUUAUUGGGCGUAAAGCGCGCGUAGGCGGUUUUUUA